AUAGUAAUGAUUUUCUUUUUAUCUGAUAAUCAAAAUGGCAUGAUGACUACUCUACGCACUUGGAACAUUUACGUUAUUUUGGCAGCAAUUCAAUAUUAAUGUGGGGGAAGUCGUAAACUCCACUUUUACCACUGGUGGUAAUGAAAACGGAAAUGGUUUUUUUGAAACAUUUGCCGAGAUAUACAAUAGUUUUUGAGUAACUUUUAAAUUCAUUUACAUCGCACAGUAAAUAUUUAUUCAACCAUUCAUUUUUUUAAGCACUUAUUUAUAGUUUUUUAAAUGUCACUUUAUGAUGUUUUUAGCCAUUUGCUUAAUCAACUUUUUUAUUUGAUUCAUUAGUACUGUUGACUCUAUUUAUAUGAAGUAAGUAAUUUAAACUAAACGAAGGAUAACUUUAUCAGCUGAUAUGGACUUACUGAAUUAUCGAAACUUUUUCUUCACUAAAGUGGUCAUUAUCAAACGAACAUUUUAAAGAAAUACGUAGACAUAUGGAACUUUCCAAUAUUCAAAACUUAUUCUUGUAGGUGUAUCAUAGCAUCUUAAGGAAAGAUGUGUUACUGUUAUUUGGAUCCUAAAACAUCCUAUGCCAUAUGUUGGUUCUUCAUUUUGAUAACAGUCGCUUUUCCAAUUGCAUUCAUCAGCGCUCCUCUGUAUAUAUUAUUUUCACCCUUUAGCGUUUGCUAUGAUUGCUGUGAGGACAUUGUAGAUUAUCUUCUUUGUGGAAUCCAGUUACCGUAUAGAGCUACAAAAGGAAUAGCAACAGGGGAAACUUUUUGCCUUAUUGUAAACCCUUGUGAUAUGGCCUGUUGGAGAGCAGAAUUGUGUGAACCACCAACUUACUGUUGCGCGACUCCACCGAAACCGAAGAGAAAGAAGAAAUGCUGCUGUGAUCCACCAGAACACCGAAUUUGUUGUGACGAUAAUCCAGAUCACAGGGCUAGACACUGUCAUCACACUAAAACAAAUUGUCCGUACUGAUAGAACUUAUUAAAAGGUAUAUUUGAAAGAAAUACUGUUGAUUUGGACGUAAAAUAUGUAUGAUAUCUAUUCAGUUUUUCUACUCCGUCUUUUUUAAUCAAUGAUCAACAUACACAAUUUUUAUCUAAGCGCUUCGGCAGAUUUAAAUGCAGUUUUUACUACAUCAUUCAGUAAGCUUAGAAAUCUAUAAGGUCAGGGUUAAGUAGAGUUCAACAGCUUGGGUUUCUUUCCAUAAUGACAACGGUUUAAAUAGUAUACCAAACACUAGUAGAUAUACUUAGUUUAGUUUCUGUAGCGGUGUGACCUUCAGUUUGACCGGCGCAAAGUAGAAAAGUACAGCACUAUGCCAGA